rnacentral:tRNA from 1 species
UAUAGCUCAGUGGUAAAGCAUUUGCCUAGUAAGCACAAGGCCCUGGAUUGAAACCCCAGUA